rnacentral:pre_miRNA from 2 species
UUCAAGUAAUCCAGGAUAGGCUGUUUCCUCAAAGCACGGCCUACUCUUGAUUACUUGUUUC